rnacentral:rRNA from 1 species
GACGAACGCUGGCGGCGUGCUUAAUACAUGCAAGUCGAGCGGAAAGACGCUGCGUUUGUGUGGUGCUCGAGUGCCGAACGGGUGAGUAAAACGUGAGGAACCUGCCCUUGACUGUGGGAGAACACCAGGAAACUGGGGCGAUUACCGGAUAGGAGAUCCUGCAGCAUGGUGGGGAUUGGAAAGUUUCGGCGGUUGGGGAUGGACUCGAGGCUUAUCCGCUAGAUGGGGGGGUAGGUGAAUUCAAGGGCUAUGACGGGUAGCCGGCAUGGGAGGGUGAACGGCGACCUUGGGCCUGAGAGACGGACCAGACUGCUACGGUACGCAGUAGUGGGGAACCUUGCACAAUGAGCGCAAGCGUGUUGCAGCGACGUUGCGUGCGUGAUGACGGCUUUCGAGUUAUAAACCGCUGUCGACUGUAACGAAGCGUUAGUGACGGUAAUGGGUAAAGAAGCACCGGCUAACUACGUG